GACGAACGCUGGCGGCGUGCUUAACACAUGCAAGUGGAGCGACGAAACUGACUUCGGUCAGUGGCAAAGCCGCGAACGGGUGAGUAACACGUGGGUAACGUGCCCCAAUGACUGGGACAACCCGGGGAAACCCGGGCUAAUACCGGAUGUGGUCCUCUCACAUCAGUGAGUUGACUAAAGGUAGCUUCGGCUUCCGCAUUGGGAUCGGCCCGCGGCGCAUUAGCUUGUUGGUGGGGUAAAGGCCUACCAAGGCGACGAUGCGUAGCUGGUCUGAGAGGACGAUCAGCCACACUGGGACUGAGACACGGCCCAGACUCCUACGGGAGGCAGCAGUGGGGAAUCUUGCGCAAUGCGCGAAAGCGUGACGCAGCAACGCCGCGUGGGGGAAGAAGGCCUUCGGGUUGUAAACCCCUUUCAGGAGGGACGAAGGGCAGGCGGUGAAUAGCCGUUCUGCUUGACGGUACCUCCACAAGAAGCCCCGGCUAACUACGUGCCAGCCGCCGCAGUAACAC
rnacentral:rRNA from 1 species